UUGUGGACGCGCUCGGCGCUCACCUAGGACUGUCACCGGCUCCUGCGGGGCCCGCGGGAGCGCUUCCGAAAGACUCCGCGGGUGGUGGUGACGGUGUCGGGAUCCCGGUCCCCACCGGCCCCGAGAGCUACUCCUUCCCCGCGCCCCGCUCAGCGCGAAAGCUGCGGGAAGCUCCAGUCUAAGGCAACUGUGUUCUAUAAAUUAUAGACCAAGAAAUGAGGAGAAAUUUGGCAAAGAAUAAUAAUGUCGAUGGAAAUACAUGGACAAAUGAGGCCUAAGGAAACUUGGAAUUUUCAUAUGCUUUUCUUAAAAUCUGAAGGUGAUAGAAGAUUUUUAAUGAGGCCCAACUACAAUAUAUAGACAAAGAUGGAGAAGCUGUAUAUAGUCAGCAAAAACAAGACCGGGAAUUGAAUGUGGCUCAGAUCAUGAACUCCUUAUUGCCAAAUUCAAACUUAAAUUGAAGAAAGUAGGGAAAACCACUAGACCAUUCAGGUAUGACCUAAAUAAAAUCCCUUAUGAUUAUACAGUGGAAGUGAGAAAUAGAUUUAAGGGAGUAGAUUGAAUAGACAGAGUUCUUGAUGAACUAUGGAUGGAGGUUUGUGACAUUGUACAGGAGACAGAGAUCAAGACCAUCCCCAUGGAAAAGAAAGGCAAAAAAGCAAAAUGGCUGGCUGAGGAGGACUUAUAAAUAGUUGUCAAAAGAAGGGAAGUGAAAAGCAAAGGAGAAAAGGAAAGAUAUAAGCAUCUGAAUGCAGAGUUCCAAAGAAUAGCAAGGAGAGAUAAGAAAGCCUUCCUCAGCGAUCAAUGCAAAGAAAUAGAGGAAAACAACAGAAUGAGAAAGACUAGAGAUCUCUUCAAGAAAAUUAGAGAUACCAAGGGAACAUUUCAUGCAAAGAUGGGCUUGAUAAAGGACAGAAAUGGUAUGGACCUAACAGAAGCAGAAGAUAUUAAGAAGAGGUGGCAAGAAUACACAGAAGAACUGUACAAAAAAGAUCUUCAUGACCCAGAUAAUCACAAUGGUGUGAUCACUCACCUAGAGUCAGACAUCCUGGAACGCAAAGUCAAGUGGGCCUUAGAAAGCAUCACUAUGACCAAAGCUAGUGGAGGUGAUGGAAUUCCAGUUGAGCUAUUUCAAAUCCUGAAAGAUGAUACUGUGAAAGUGCUGCACUCAAUAUGCCAGCAAAUUUGGAAAACUCAGCAGUGGCCACAGGACUGGAAAAGGUCAGUUUUCAUUCCAAUCCCAAAGAAAGGCAAUGCCAAAGAAUGCUCAAACUACCACACAGUUGCACUCAUCUCACACGCUAGUAAAGUAAUGCUCAAAAUUCUCCAAGCCAAGCUUCAGCAAUAUGUGAACCUUGAACUUCCAGAUGUUCAAGCUGGUUUUAGAAAAGACAGAGGAACCAGAGAUCAAAUUGCCAAUGUCCACUGGAUCAUCGAAAAAGCAAGAGAAUUCCAGAAAAGCAUCUCUGCUUUUUUGACUAUGCCAAAGCCUUUGACUGUGUGGAUCACAAUAAACUGUGGAAAAUUCUGAAAGAGAUGAGAAUACCAGACCAUCUGACCUGCCUUUUGAGAAACCUAUAUGCAGAUCAGGAAGCAACAGUUAGAACUGGACAUGGAACAACAGACUGGUUCCAAAUAGGAAAAGGAGUACGUCAAGGCUGUAUAUUGUCACCCUGCUUAUUUAACAUCAUGAGAAAUGCUGGGUUGGAAGAAGCACAAGCUGGAAUCAAGAUUGCCGGGAGAAAUAUCAGUAACCUCAGAUAUACAGAUGACACCACCCUUAUGGCAGAAAGUGAAGAGGAACUAAAAAGCCUCUUGAUGAAAGUGAAAGAGGAGAGUGAAAAAUUUGGCUUAAAGCUCAACAUUCAGAAAACGAAGAUCAUGGCAUCCAGUCCCAUCACUUCAUGGCAAAUAGAUGGGGCAACAGUGGAAACAGUGUCAGACUUUAUUCUGGGGGGUUCCAAAAUCACUGCAGAUAGUGACUGCAGCCAUGAAUUUAAAAGACACUUACUGCUUGGAAGGAAAGUUAUGACCAACCUAGACAACAUAUUCAAAAGCAGAGACAUUACUUUGCCAACCAAGGUCCAUCUAGUCAAGGCUGUGGCUUUUCCUGUGGUCAUGUAUGGAUGUGAGUUGGACUGUGAAGAAAGCUGAGUGCCGAAGAAUUGAUACUUUUGAACUGUGGUGUUGGAGAAGAUUCUUGAGAGUCUCUUGGACUGCAAGGAGAUCCAACCAGUCCAUCCUAAAGAAGACCAGUCUUGGGUGUUCAUUGGAAGGACUAUGCUGAAGCUAAAACUCCAAUACUUCGGCCACCUCAUGUGAAGAGUUGACUCAUUGGAAAAUACCCUGAUGCUGGGAGGGAUUGGGGCCAGGAGGAGAAGGGGACGACAGAGGAUGAGAUGACUGAAUGGCAUCACCGACUCGAUGCACAUGAGUUUGAGUGAACUCCAGGAACUGGCGAUGGACGGGAAGGCCUGGUGUGCUGCGAUUCAUGGGGUCGCAAAGAGUCAGAUACGACUGAGCGCCUGAACUGAACUGAUAAUAUUUUUGGAUGCACCUAUGUUGAUGUAUGUAUCAAUAGUUCUUUCCUUCUUAUUGUCAAAUUAUAUUCUGUUGUAUAGAUAUACCACAUUCUGUUUAUUCAGUUACCAACUGGUGGACAUUUAGAUUGUUUCUAGUUUUCUCUGGUUAUAAAUAAAGCCUCUAUUGAGAUUUGUGGGCUAAUUUUGGAUAGAUAUAUGCUUUAUUUCUCUGAAAUA